rnacentral:rRNA from 1 species
CAGUCGCCGCGGUAAUACGUAGGUGGCAAGCGUUGUCCGGAAUUAUUGGGCGUAAAGGGCUCGCAGGCGGUUUCUUAAGUCUGAUGUGAAAGCCCCCGGCUCAACCGGGGAGGGUCAUUGGAAACUGGGAAACUUGAGUGCAGAAGAGGAGAGUGGAAUUCCACGUGUAGCGGUGAAAUGCGUAGAGAUGUGGAGGAACACCAGUGGCGAAGGCGACUCUCUGGUCUGUAACUGACGCUGAGGAGCGAAAGCGUGGGGAGCGGACAGGAUUAGAUACCCCUGUAGUCCCUGUCUCUUAUAC